rnacentral:rRNA from 1 species
ACGUACACUCCUGCGGGAGGCAGCAGUGGGGAAUUUUGGACAAUGGGCGAAAGCCUGAUCCAGCCAUGCCGCGUGCAGGAUGAAGGCCUUCGGGUUGUAAACUGCUUUUGUACGGAACGAAACGGCCUUUUCUAAUAAAGAGGGCUAAUGACGGUACCGUAAGAAUAAGCACCGGCUAACUACGUGCCAGCAGCCGCGGUAAUACGUAGGGUGCAAGCGUUAAUCGGAAUUACUGGGCGUAAAGCGUGCGCAGGCGGUUAUGUAAGACAGUUGCGAAAUCCCCGGGCUCAACCUGGGAACUGCAUCUGUGACUGCAUAGCUAGAGUACGGUAGAGGGGGAUGGAAUUCCGCGUGUAGCAGUGAAAUGCGUAGAUAUGCGGAGGAACACCGAUGGCGAAGGCAAUCCCCUGGACCUGUACUGACGCUCAUGCACGAAAGCGUGGGGAGCAAACAGGAUUAGAUACCCGGGUAGUCCCAUGA